AUUGGAAAGAGUUGCAAAUGAAUACAAGAAGAGCCAAUACUGAGUACAUCACCAAGUGCAUCUGCUCUUCACAAACACCAGGAGAUGCAGGGAGUGGCUACCUCUGAUGAAGGAGGUGCAGAUGUUACAUGUUGCAUAUGUGCUUCUGCUGGAAAUCAAAUAAAUUAGUGUUUAAAUCUUC